UACUGCCCAGACUCCUACGGGAGGCUGCAGUCGAGAAUUUUGGGCAAUGGACGAAAGUCUGACCCAGCAAUGCCGCGUGCGGGAUGAAGGUCUUCGGAUUGUAAACCGCUGUCAAGAGGGACGAAAUUUGACGGUACCUCUGGAGGAAGCCACGGCUAACUACGUGCCAGCAGCCGCGGUAAU
rnacentral:rRNA from 1 species